AAGUAACUCACAGCACUGACUUAAUUCUGCUCCUCUUGAAAUCCAAAGGGGCUGGGGUUUGGUGGAAGCUAAGAACCUUCUGAAAACUUCACUGCUGGGUUCCUUGUGCAUCUGUCUACCUGUGGAAAAGGAUACGUGCUAUGUGACAGACAGGUUGCUUGGGAAUGUGUGAUUGGAUAGCGUGCCACAGAAGUGCAGCAUGCUAGUAUUGCUGAGAGGAGAUCACUUCGGCCAUCAGAGCAGAAAAAUUAAUUCUAGUUUUGGUGUUUUCAAGGAAAUGUGUGCAGUUUUAGUUGACUCUCCAAGCAGUGGAGAAAUAUGCUAUCAGACUGCAGUGGAAAUGCUCAGUCAUGGCUUGAAACAAUGACUGAGCACCUGGUGGGAAGGCAGGGCCAACCCAGGGGAGCUCAGGUGCAUGCAAUGUACCUGAGUGACUGGAACGGGUGGAGUCACUUUCCACCCCUUUUGAGACCUCAUUUAAUGAUUGGCAGUGGGGGCAAGGGUAUCUUGCUGGUGAUCCUUGCAUACCUGAGGCCUUCUGAAGCCUGCAUUGCUCAGUGGAGGUUAAUCCUGUCCUUAAUUUGUUUGUACAUAUGUGAACUUCUAGAGAAGGAGAUGGAUCAUGGUGCAAUAGUGGCCAGCAAGGUGGCUGUGCUCAUCUGUGCAAUUCCUCUAAAAUCAUCAACAAAGCCCUGGAGCUCCUGAGAGGGAACUUUCUGCAGCCUGUCCUGCUGCCCUCUGCUAAGUGCCCUCAGUUGCUCAAAAAGAAAGCAGAAAUCUUCCUUUCCCUCCAGGUAACCAUUGGACCUGCCCAAGUCUUCUGAGGGGAGCGUAGCACCAAAUUGCAGACAAGUGUCUCAACUAAUUACUGGUUGUUGCUGUCUUAGUCGCCUGCUUCUUAGUGAGGCUACUGACCUGUGUCACUGAUGUCUUUGUGCUCUGUUACAUUCUACAAAAAGUACCAUUCUCCAGUGCAAACAGCACAGGUAGAGAACUGCAUAAGCAACUGGGAUUCACUUGAGCUGGGAACUCUUUGUAUUUCUUAUAUCCCGAAGAAGUUAGAAUAUAAAUACAAGUGGUGAUCUUGGCUUGCCUGAGUCAUAAAGGAGUGAAUAAGUCCUUAUUCUGAUAGGUGUAUUUCACUAGUGGAUUAAAUUGCCCUUCCAUUUUGGAGGAGGUAGAAUCUGGUGUGGCACAGCAGUUGUUUUUGUUUGUUUUUAAUAACUAGCUUUAAAGCAAUAACAGGCACGUAGUGUCAGGCUGAUGUAUUCUGGUUUGAUUUCAGGCAUUACACAAGGGAAUAGACUAUUUCCACAUCUCCCCCUAGAGCUCUUUAGCAACUACAGCAGCAAUAAUAAUAACAAUCUGGGUUAUUAAAAAAAAAAAAAAAGGAAGAAGAAAACAUCACAACGAUUCCCUUAAGGAGUAGCACAAAGCCAUAGGUCCGUAGUGAAGGUUCAUACGAUGGAACAUCUUUUCUCCCAGUGUAAGAACAGUGCCUGUAAAUAACAAUAUACAAGUUUUGCAUGAUUAUCAGUUCUGAUGCUCAGGAGAAAUAGGUUAUCUUUCAUUUUUCAUUUAUGGAAAAAUAUUAGGCUUGUGACCACAAAGGUCAUCUUCUCUACCCUUGCUAAUGUAGGAAAAUUAAUUUUCUGCUAAGCUUGUUAGAGUAAUUGUUGAGAGAACCUGUGGAAUAACAGUGUCAGACUAAUGCCUAAUGUGGCUAUCUGGAAAAAAGCAGUGAGUUAUGGUUGGGUCUGGGUAAGUAUAACCCCAACUGAUGGGCUUCAAGGCUUGAGAAGGAGGAGUGGGAAAUGUCGAUAGAGGGAACAGCUGAUGCCUUUUUAAUGGGAGAGGGUCAGCGGGCUGGCAGGAGAAUUGAUGAACUGACAGUGUAAUACGCUGUGUGUAGCACUGAGGCAGUGCCAUGUUCUGUGUUUUAAGAGCAUGGUGACUGUCCCCAUGUAAAGGCAGAAGCUCCCCUGUUUAAGUGACUCUUAGACUUGCCAUAUAAUAUAGAUUUAGUUAGCUCUUCCCUUCCUUUCUGCAUUUCUUUUUUUUUUUAACCUAAAAUGAUUUAAAAAAGAACCUUUAGGCUCUACUGUGCUGGAAAUCUCAAGAGGAUAUAUUUUGGAUUUGCUGGGUGGUUAUCAGGUGUCGUGUUUGUAAAGUGAGAGAUGAGGUUAAAAGACACAUUCAGUAGCUGUGCUGGGGGGAAGAAUUGCACAAAUCUUUUGUGCUCUCUCAGCAUAUGUUUGUAUGAACAUUACAUCAGAACUGAAACAGCAGAAGUGAAACUUCUCUCUUAUCAGAUUGGAGGAAGGUGGUAGCAUUACAGGAAUAAGAGUGUGUGACCUUUUUUUUCCAUUCAGAACCAGAUAUGGGGAUAAGGCUUGUACUGGAAAAUGUAAUCCUCUAAACAUGUAGGUGGGAAGAAGGGGAGAACACAGCAUUACAGUAAAUGAAGUCAGGUGCUGAGCCAUUGUUUUCUAGUUGUGGCAGACAUAACA